UGCCGCGUGAGUGAAGAAGGCCUUCGGGUUGUAAAGCUCUUUCGGCCGGGAAAAAAUCGCAUGGGUUAAUACCCUGUGUGGAUGAUGGUACCGGAAUAACAAGCACCGGCUAACUACGUGCCAGCAGCCGCGGUAAUACCUAUGGUGCGAGCGUUAAUCGGAAUUACUGGGCGUAAAGCGUGCGCAGGCGGUUUGAUAAGACAGGCGUGAAAUCCCCGGGCUCAACCUGGGAACUGCGUUUGUGACUGUCUCACUAGAGUACGGCAGAGGGGGAUGGAAUUCCACGUGUAGCAAUGAAAUGCGUAAAGAUGUGGAGGAACACCAAUGGCGAAGGCAACCCCCUGGGUCGAUACUGACGCUCAUGCACGAAAGCGUGGGUAGCAAACAGGAUUAGAUACCCUGGUAGUCCACGCCCUAAACGAUGUCAACUAGGUGUUGGGUGGGUAAAACCAUUUAAUACCGUAUCUAACGCGAGAAUUUGACCGCCUGGAGAGUACUGCCGCGGGGUUAACACUCAGAGGAAUUGAGGGGGACCCGCACAAGCGGUGGAUGAUGUGUAUUAAUUCUAUGCCACGCGAAAAAUCUUACCUACCCGUGACGUGUCCAGGAUUUCAAAGAGAU
rnacentral:rRNA from 1 species